CUGCUAAACCAAAAUUAUCUCCACUUUGCGUGCCUCACCACUGUACCUCAUACAAACAACUCUCAAUGCUUCAUUCCCUCUGAGAACCACACACCGUUCUUCUUCUUCUUCUCAUAUCUCCAUCAUUCCUUCUUCUUCUUCUUCUUCUUCUUCUUCUUCUUCUUUCCAUCUUUUUCAUCGCUCGAAUCUCUUCCAAGUUUUCAUCUCAAUGUUAAUUGCAAUCUGAAUCAUUUCUCGGAUAAGCUAGUGUUGAUUUUGAUUGAAAUCUGAAUCGCGCUCUAGUCAUCAGAUCUGGAGCAGGGGUUUAGUGUUGGGAAUGGUGGUGUUUGUUUUCGUCUUCGUAUUUGUCUCUGUAGAUGAUGUUGUUGUGCUCACCGAAGAUAACUUUGAGAAGGAGGUUGGUCAGGACAGAGGAGCACUUGUUGAGUUCUACGCUCCUUGGUGUGGACACUGUAAAAAGCUUGUCCCUGAAUAUGAAAAGCUUGAUUCCAGCUUCAAGAAAGCCAAAUCUAUUUUAAUUGGCAAGAUAAAUUGUCAUUCAAGGACCUUGCUUCAUCCCUUGUCAAGGGUAGUCUAAGAGAGCAACAAGUCAACCUAAAUCUCCUUAACAUGGCAAUGCUUGGAAGUCACAUGUUGACAAAUAUUGGAAGAUACCUCAUACCUCUUGCAGAGGACAAAAAUUUGAUUCCAAGUCUUUUGUCUCUUGUUGAGCAGGGUAGUGAAAUUCUAAAAGGAAAGGAACUUUUCUUUGUGGCUCUACUUUGUAAGCAUGGUAGGAGGUGGUUUCCACACUUCUUAGCAGUUCAUUGUUUAAACACAAAGUGAUUACAAUUCACGUCCUACGGCAGCUGGCCAAUCUAAUUAAACUCAUUGAGACACCGUUUCAGCUUGACAAUAUUUAUUGAGGACAACCAAACUGGUUCGGAGAUCACAAAAGUUCACAAAAGUAUUUAUGCAUUCUUGGAUUGGUGUGACACUCUUCAAAUCUAUUACAGACACUAAUACUCCUUCUGCAGCAUGACUUUCCUUAACUCCUGCAAAAAUUGCCUUAUUCAACUCUCGACAAUUAGUUGUAGUGAUUGACUACUCUCAAUUGUUUCUUUUUUUUCUGCUACACAUAGGUCGCAGUGCAGACGAGGAAGAAAAUAAAUGUGACUUGAAGGACUUUACAUGGGAGGGAAAUAUUGAGAGCAUGCUUUUUGUCGAACAAGAGUUGCGGGAAUUAGCUUCACUAAAGUGGAACAAAGCAAGCUGCACAUAGGUUGAAGAUUAUAUUUGGAUUAGCUGGUCUGAAAGCUACUAAGCUUCAUGGAAAUCUUACUCAAGCCCAGCGCCUUGAAGUAUGUUUCUUAAAUUAAUGAAUUGGCAGUAAGGUUUGCUUAAUAUUUAUAUUUGUGUUAUGCUUGGAUUUUUUUGCUCAUGCUUGGUAGGCUUUGGAACAAUUCAGGAAGCAAGAAGUUAACUUUUUAUUGUUCUAUUUGCUUAGAAUUCUGGGAUGUCUUGGAUUACAAUUUUGUGUGUUUACUUCACAUUAUUGUUUAAGAAAUAGUACUUUCUAAUAGUAGUAUUAUAUUAUGUGGCUUUGAAUCUUCCAUUUAUUCUCUGCAUUUUCUCAUUCCUAAGAUUUUCCAUUUAAAUAUAAUCAUGCUCUUAUGAAAUGGGCAGGUUGAAAACAUAAUUAUUCAUAAGGAAGAGAUCUUUUCUCUCCCCAAAAGAACCUGGUUUGUAACAGAAAUAGAAAAGAAGGUUGCUGCAAAAGCAACAAAAGUAAAAUUUCUUGUUUCAUUGUUGUGAUAUUCCUCAAAUUUGAUAUGUAUUAUUGUCUCACAUAAUAAGAACGUAAUUUUUAUUAUUGUACCUGUUAGGAUAUAUAUUCAAACUUGUUUCAUGCAUUAUUCAGUAAUUGCAUGAUGAAUUUUUAACCAAUGCAAAAAAAAUUGCCAAGAAAGUGUAGAAAAUUGGAAGCGGCUAGAGAGAAGUUUGAAGAUGAAGGAGAUGAGGACAAACUUGAUUGUUAAUUAAAAAUUGAAAACUUUGCUUCAUUCUCUCUGCUGUAUUAUUGUAUUGCAUCUGUGCUUGGCUCUAUUUAUUUACUUUUGAUCAUUAACUAUGUGCUGAUCAUUGAUGUAACAUAGAAUUGUAGUAUUUGUGUUGUUUAAAUUUGUAUUAUGUUUUAUUACUUUUCAAGAGAAC